rnacentral:rRNA from 1 species
UACGGAGGGAGCUAGCGUUGUUCGGAAUUACUGGGCGUAAAGCGCACGUAGGCGGCUCUUUAAGUCAGAGGUGAAAUCCCAGGGCUCAACCCUGGAACUGCCUUUGAAACUGGGAAGCUAGAAUCUUGGAGAGGCGAGUGGAAUUCCGAGUGUAGAGGUGAAAUUCGUAGAUAUUCGGAGGAACACCAGUGGCGAAGGCGGCUUACUGGCUCGAUACUGACGCUGAGGUGCGAAAGCGUGGGGAGCAAACAGG